rnacentral:rRNA from 1 species
AUGUCCGAUCCGGAGAAGGCUCCUCGUUCCCUCGUCUAUCCAUCAGAGUGGGAUGCCAUGACCGCAGAUGAGCAGAUGUUGUGGUUUCUCAAGCAUCUAUCGGCACAGAUGGAUAGUAUCAAGUCCGAGCUCGCGGCUGCGCGCGUGGGCGCGGGCGAUCCGGCAGAGGCCACCUCGCGUGUCAAUCCGGUUGCCUCCCCUGCUACUGCUUCGGCUACCUCAACCUCUGCCCUGGUCGCGUCUCACACCGACCGCGCAACCACGGCUGCUCCACCCACCAUCGCCGAGGAGGUCCACUGCACCGCCACCGCAUUCGACCCCAAUCCCGCGAUCGGCACCAACAACGCCAUAGCCACCCUUCGAACGAACGGAGUGGAAAUUCAGGAGGAGAACCAGGUGGUGGCAACAGCAAUUCAGGCUGUUAGCAUCAACAUCGGCGGCAAGUUCACUACUCCCGCACCUCCACUGGUGGCGUCCUCUCCAGAAGUCUCCACCGAGCCUGCUGUCCUUCCCGACGUUUCCUCGUCAACUGGACAGGCUGAGGAGAUCCUCCAUCAUGUGUCUUCUGAUUACAUCGCUACGACGCUCAUGACCUGUUCGACAGAAUGCUCGAAAAAAUUCAGUGCCAUGUCAUUCUUGUCUCCAGUCAUGACGACGUCGCUACCCCCAGCAGCCACACUUGUGCUCGUCGCCGACCUCAUUCACCCUGCUACCAACGAUGGUUCUAACCGGCGGGUGCCCCUGGACAUGGAAGACGAGCUCCUGACCAGUCUAUCUCCUCUGUCGUUCUCAAUUGUAGAUUCAACGCAGUCGUUUCUGAACCAGGACAGGGACGUCCCGUUUCCCACAAGGCGAGGGGCUGCUGAUACGACCGACUCCGUGGCCAUCAUUUCAGAUGCAUUUUGCUGA